GAACGCUGGCGGCAGGCCUAACACAUGCAAGUCGAACGGUAACAGGAAGCAGCUUGCUGCUUUGCUGACGAGUGGCGGACGGGUGAGUAAUGUCUGGGAAACUGCCUGAUGGAGGGGGAUAACUACUGGAAACGGUGGCUAAUACCGCAUAACGUCGCAAGACCAAAGAGGGGGACCUUCGGGCCUCUUGCCAUCAGAUGUGCCCAGAUGGGAUUAGCUUGUUGGUGAGGUAACGGCUCACCAAGGCGACGAUCCCUAGCUGGUCUGAGAGGAUGACCAGCCACACUGGAACUGAGACACGGUCCAGACUCCUACGGGAGGCAGCAGUGGGGAAUAUUGCACAAUGGGCGCAAGCCUGAUGCAGCCAUGCCGCGUGUAUGAAGAAGGCCUUCGGGUUGUAAAGUACUUUCAGCGGGGAGGAAGGUGUUGUGGUUAAUAACCGCAGCAAUUGACGUUACCCGCAGAAGAAGCACCGGCUAACUCCGUGCCAGCAGCCGCGGUAAUACGGAGGGUGCAAGCGUUAAUCGGAAUUACUGGGCGUAAAGCGCACGCAGGCGGUCUGUCAAGUCGGAUGUGAAAUCCCCGGGCUCAACCUGGGAACUGCAUUCGAAACUGGCAGGCUUGAGUCUUGUAGAGGGGGGUAGAAUUCCAGGUGUAGCGGUGAAAUGCGUAGAGAUCUGGAGGAAUACCGGUGGCGAAGGCGGCCCCCUGGACAAAGACUGACGCUCAGGUGCGAAAGCGUGGGGAGCAAACAGGAUUAGAUACCCUGGUAGUCCACGCCGUAAACGAUGUCUACUUGGAGGUUGUGCCCUUGAGGCGUGGCUUCCGGAGCUAACGCGUUAAGUAGACCGCCUGGGGAGUACGGCCGCAAGGUUAAAACUCAAAUGAAUUGACGGGGGCCCGCACAAGCGGUGGAGCAUGUGGUUUAAUUCGAUGCAACGCGAAGAACCUUACCUGGUCUUGACAUCCACAGAAGAAUCCA
rnacentral:rRNA from 1 species